rnacentral:rRNA from 1 species
UACGGAGGGUGCAAGCGUUGUCCGGAUUUAUUGGGUUUAAAGGGUGCGUAGGCGGCCUUUUAAGUCAGUGGUGAAAGCCCGCGGCUCAACCGCGGAACUGCCAUUGAUACUGGAAGGCUUGAGUACAGACGAGGUGGGCGGAAUUGAAGAUGUAGCGGUGAAAUGCUUAGAUAUCUUCAAGAACACCGAUUGCGUAGGCAGCUCACUAGGCUGUAACUGACGCUGAGGCACGAAAGCGUGGGGAGCGAACAGG